UACGUAGGGUGCGAGCGUUGUCCGGAAUUAUUGGGCGUAAAGAGCUUGUAGGCGGUUUGUCGCGUCUGCUGUGAAAAUCCGAGGCUCAACCUCGGACUUGCAGUGGGUACGGGCAGACUAGAGUGUGGUAGGGGAGACUGGAAUUCCUGGUGUAGCGGUGGAAUGCGCAGAUAUCAGGAGGAACACCGAUGGCGAAGGCAGGUCUCUGGGACCACUACUGACGCUG
rnacentral:rRNA from 1 species